GGGGGUGUAGCUCAGCGGGUAGAGCAUCUGCUUUGCACGCAGAAGGUCAUCGGUUCGAAUCCGUUCACCUCCA
rnacentral:tRNA from 1 species